rnacentral:sRNA from 1 species
AAGUCGUGCUGCGGAGCCAAAUUUGAAGCGAGCGGAGGCGCGGGGGCGCGUCUACGAAGCCGGACCUGUAGCAGUUUCUUUGGCUGCCUGGGCCCCUUGAGUCCAGCCAUCAUGCCUAUCCGUGCCCUGUGCACUAUCUGCUCCGAUUUCUUCGAUCACUCCCGCGACGUGGCCGCCAUCCACUGCGGCCACACCUUCCACUUGCAGUGCCUAAUUCAGUGGUUUGAGACAGCACCAAGUCGGACCUGCCCACAGUGCAGAAUCCAGGUUGGCAAAAGAACCAUUAUCAAUAAGCUCUUCUUUGAUCUUGCCCAGGAGGAGGAGAAUGUCUUGGAUGCAGAAUUCUUAAAGAAUGAACUGGACAAUAUCAGAGCCCAGCUUUCCCAGAAAGACAAGGAGAAACGAGACAGCCAGGUCAUCAUUGACACUCUGCGGGAUACGCUGGAAGAACGCAAUGCUACUGUGGUAUCUCUGCAGCAGGCCCUGGGCAAGGCCGAGAUGCUGUGCUCCACACUGAAAGUAGGUCCUCAGGUUUUAUGGGUACAGAAUUCGUAGGGAGGCAUUGCCCCAGAACUGGACUCCCCAUUCUGGGCUUAUCUUCUGGUUCUGCUCCAGUCAAUACCUUGGUUUGGGGAGUUGUAAAAUAGAGGCAAAUCACUUCUUCCCCUUGCCCUCCCAUACUGUACCCAUCCAUCCCAUAAGAAAAGGGCCAUAUUGGCUAUACUUGUGGGUUUUGUACUAGGUAGUUUGAAGAGGCAAGGCCUUCCCAGUACCUCACAGAGGGGAUGCUCAACUAAGACCUCAGUGAGGCUGGGCCAUAUUUCCAAAAGUGGUUCAUACUUUACUGAUGAGGCCAGCCUGAAGAACCUUCCAUUAGCACUCCAGUCCUUGGCUGGGCUGCUCUCCUGAGCCAGAUCAAACAGCAUCCUAGGGAGGAGCAAGGGCCUUUGAAGUCAGCUGUGCUGAGCUGACCAGCCAGAUCAAAGCCUGCAGAGUGAACAGCCUUAGACCCAGAUGAAUUUUGCAUCAGCCUGGGUUGGUGAGCCUCUUGCUCUCCAAGGGGCAUGAGAGGCGACUGAUCUGAACCCACGAUUGAUAUUCUGGCCUUGUAGGCAGGAGCAGUCCUUGCUGGAUGCCAUUUGAAAGGGAAAGGGAGCCAUCCUUGUGAACAGACA